rnacentral:rRNA from 1 species
GACGAACCGAGCGAACGUUGUUCGGAAUCACUGGGCGUAAAGGGUGCGUAGGCGGGUCUUUAAGUCAGGGGUGAAAUCCUGGAGCUCAACUCCAGAACUGCCUUUGAUACUGAGAAUCUUGAGUAUGGGAGAGGUGAGUGGAACUGCGAGUGUAGAGGUGAAAUUCGUAGAUAUUCGCAAGAACACCAGUGGCGAAGGCGGCUCACUGGCCCAUAACUGACGCUGAGGCACGAAAGCGUGGGGAGCAAACAGG